rnacentral:misc_RNA from 1 species
GAUGAAGAACGCAGCGAAAUGCGAUAAGUAGUGUGAAUUGCUGAAUUCAGUGAAUCAUCGAAUCUUUGAACGCACAUUGCGCCCCUUGGUAUUCCAUGGGGCAUGCCUGUUCGAGCGUCAUUUGUACCUUCAAGCUCUGCUUGGUGUUGGGUGUUUGUCCUUGCUCUAGUGGCGGGACUCGCCUUAAAGUAAUUGGCAGCCAGUGUUUUGGUUUUGAAGCGCAGCACAAGUCGCGAUUCAAGUCUAUACGCUAGUUUCCACAAGUCUUUUAUCACUUUUGACCUCGGAUCAGGUAGGGAUACCCGCUGAACUUAAGCAUAUCAAUAAGCGGAGGA